ensembl:lncRNA
AGAGGCGAGACGCUGCAGGACCAAACCGAGCUCGAGAGGGAGUCGAGCGCAGAUGCAGAGAAGCGGGGCAGAGCCGAGGGGAAGGUGUACAGCUCAGAUGAGGACAAGCUGGAGGCGCCCGCGGGAGCCCCGGCAGGCAGCGAGCCGGAGGAAGAGGGCUCGGGCGGUGACAGCGAGGACGACGGUUACCUGGACGGUUCUGCGGGGGGCCCCGGGGCACUCCUGGGCCCUAAACCGAAGCUAAAGGGAAGCCUGGGGACUGGCACUGACGAGGGGGCCCCGGCGGCAGCGGUGGCAGCAGCGGGGGUCCCAGCUCCUGGGGGCAAAAGCCGGCGGCGGCGCACGGCCUUCACCAGCGAGCAGCUUCUGGAGCUGGAGAAGGAGUUUCACUGCAAGAAGUACCUGAGCUUGACCGAGCGGUCCCAGAUCGCACACGCCCUCAAGCUCAGCGAGGUGCAGGUCAAGAUCUGGUUCCAGAACCGGCGGGCCAAGUGGAAGCGCAUCAAAGCCGGCAAUGUGAGCAGCCGCUCCGGGGAGCCCGUGAGAAACCCCAAGAGCGGGGUGCCCAUCCCUGUGCACGUCAACCGCUUUGCCGUCCGGAGCCAGCACCAGCAGAUGGAGCAGGGGGCCCGGCCCUGAGGGACGCCAGGAGGCUCAGACCGGGGUAGGGCCCCGGGGACCGCGGGGCGCCCCCACUGUGCUGUCACCCUCGGAGGGGCGCGGCGAGGUCGGGCUCUGGGGUGCUCAGGUGUGGGCACGAGGCCCCGAGCCAUUCCAGGGGCCGUCAGCGCGAGCGGGGCCCCGUCCUCACUGUCCGGGUGGCCUGAGGCGGACUCCCGGGGAGGGAGUGGGUUCUGAAAGGCCGGGGCCGCGAAGGUUCCUGGCAAAGGCUCUGGCCUGGCUUCUGACGGGGGUGGGAGAAUUCCAGGGGAGACGCGGCCACGCCGAUGACACAGCUCCUUAUUUAUUUCGUGUAAAGUUUGUACAUAUGGCGCUUUCGGCCUGUGCUGUCCGCACUCCCGCCAGGACUGGGGAAGCCUGGUCCCUCGGUCUUCGGCCUGAGUUCAGUUCCUUCCUAGCACCGAAGGGGCACCGUCCUGCCUGUCUGUAGCACAGGGACGUGCAGAGACGCGCAACGGGACCUUAGAAACCUCCUUAGAAGCCUCCGGCCUCAUGUCCCCUGUGUCAUCUACCUCCACUUCUGUCCCCACCCCUGCCCAGCCAGCCUGUCCCGCGCCUGCUGUAGCCUCUGCACAGUAAGCAAGCAGAAGCUUCUGCACCUCUGCUCUCUGCUCCCUGGACAAGAGGGCGGACUUCAGGGCCGAGGCUUCACCGCCUUUGGUCAACGAGGGGAAAUGAACUUGACCGAGGCCAGCUCAGGGGUGUGCAGGCUGUGCAGGCAGAGGUUACCAGUCCUAGGCAGGACUGGCGCAGGCUGGGGCCCCCUGGUCACCCGUGAACCCCUCUCUAUGUGGAGGACACGGCAGCUUGGUCCACCCCCGACAGUCCAGACGUGAGAGGCUGAGCAGGUCUCUGCUGAUACCGCACCCAUGGUGCACCCGCAGUUCCCAAGCUUGGGAUCCCGUGUCCUCAUGUUAUGAGGCUGGUCGAGAAGAGCCACUGCAAAGUGGAUGAGGUGGGAUGAAUCGGAUGGUUCUGGAAGGUAUGUGCUGUGGGGGAAGCUAGAGAGACAGGAAUUAGAGGCUCUGAGGUUGGAAUUCUGUGAGCAAACUAACAGCAUUCACAGAGGACCAAGUAAACGCAGGGACGUGAGGCUUUGCGGGCACUUGCAGGAAACAGGACUGAAAGGGAAAGGGGACAACCAAAAGCCACUUGCCAUUUUCCCUGCCUUCACCGACGGGCUCCUGUCCGGUACAGACGGGAGAGGCCGCGUGGGCACAGGGAAUUCCCAGAGAAGCCCACGGACGCUGGCAUGGUGGCUAACACGGCCUCAUGGGCUGUGUUGCUUUGGGAGGAGAGCUGGAGCAGAACAGAGCCGUAGAGAAGAGAAAUGGGCUCCGAGUGAGGCAAGGCCAGACAGGGAGGGAGGCCGCUCAGCCAAGUCCCCGGCCAGCCUCCUGCCCUCCCUAGGGGUCAGGCUGCUGCUCUUCUGGUGAGACUGAGACAGGCCUUCCAGGGCCGUCCUCUCCUCCUCAAGCACAUGCAACGCAGCAGCCGGGGCCCGUGGGUCCAGGGUCUUCUCUCGCUUUUGACUGAAUUUCAGCAAAUCUGGAGAAUCAGGCCGAAAACUGUGGUCCAGCCUGGCCCGUUCCUGCUCCAGGCCAAGGCUGUCUGACACCCACCUAGGGAACCUACAGGGUGAGAGUCUUUUUAGGACAGGAGCCAGGCAGAGGUCGAGGAUCCCAGGAGCUGUCGUCACUUUGCUGUCAGGACUCAUGUCUCCAGGUGUAGCCAGGGCUGGCACGGACGCCCUCUGUGCCCCCAGGGAGGGAAGGUGGGGCAGGAGAACUAGCACACCCGAGGCCCCAAUCUGCCUUUUUUUCCCCCCCUGGAUUUACCUCUGAAGCUUCCUAAACCAUACCCUGCAGUCUUCAGCUGCCGAGCAGCUUCUUUAGGGAAGCUGGAGGUGACUGCUGCUAGUAUUUUCUGAGCCCGGGAACCCAUCUUCCGCGCCACCCCCGGCCCCAUCUUUAUUCUGCCCUUAUCUUUGCUUAAGGUUCGUAUCAGCCUGGUAAAAGGGGCUGUGGACCAAGAAAAUAAAAUCUGGUUUCCUCU